GACGACGCUGGCGGCGCGGAUUAGGCAUGCAAGUCGAACGGUAUCAUCCUUUCGGGGGUGAGAGAGUGGCGAACUGGUGAGUAACACGUAGGUUAUCUACCCUCAAGACGGGGACAACCCAGGGAAACUUGGGCUAAUACCGGAUGUGAGCAACUUUUAGUUGUUUGAAAGGUGGCGUAAGCUGUCGCUUGGGGAUGAGCCUGCGUCCUAUUAGUUAGUUGGUGAGGUAACGGCUCACCUAGGCAAUGAUAGGUAGGCGGCCUUAACGGGUGGUCGCCCACACUGGGAUUGAGAUACGGCCCAGACUCCUACGGGAGGCAGCAGUCGAGAAUAGUCUACAAUGGUCGGAAGACUGAUAGUGCGACGCCGCGUGAACGAUGAAUCCCUUCGGGGUGUAAAGUUCUUUUAUAUGUGAGCAGUGCUUCUUAUAUUAACAGUAUGGGGAGAGAGAUAUUAGCAUAUGAAUAAGCAACGGCUAACUCCGUG
rnacentral:rRNA from 1 species